UAUGAGUGAGAAUAUCGCUCCCUAUAAGUUUGGUCAUAUAUUCUUCUAAGACAAAGUUUUGAAGAAAUAUGAGAGUGUUGUUUUCUUUGAUUUUUCUCAUUGUUUUAGCCCUUCUCUCUCUCACGCCCAAAGCUUUCAUGGGAAAGUUGGGUUUGGAUUGGGAAAUCCAUUCGAUUGAGUACUCGACAUUUCGAAACAGUAUUCCUCUCAUAAUUAUCAUUGCUACAGCUGCAGUUACUUGGUUAGUGAGGAGGAAAAUAACGGUUUCCUCUCGCAAAGAUGGAGUCCCCGAAAUACCGAAGGCCCCGAGACAUAGACGGGCAGGGUUUCGGCGAGGGGGAGGGGGAGGAGCACGGCCACGGCCUCGACCACCAUCCUCCAAUUAUAAAGAAUCAUGCGCAAACAACGAUGAUAGCGAUGAACCCACAAAAAUGUGGUAUGAUACCGCCAAUCUAUGGCGCUUGAGACAGAAAACCGGCGGCGACAAGACUUGAGGUCGAGACAUCGAAUGAGUCUAUUCUCCUGCUCUUUGUGCAAUUGUGAGAAGAAUUUUGUCAAUUUGGUGUUCAAAUUUAGAGAGUGUGUGGCUGCUCGUUAAAACAAAUUAUAAGUGGAGAGAGCUGGUAUGGAGGUUUGGAACAGAUGCAGAGGAGAAGAAGAAAAGAAGAAGACGCCGCGCUUGAGGUUGAGGAAGAGGAGAGAGAGAGUUGGCCUAUUUUUGUUUAAUUUUUGUGGGCUUUUUGUUGGGCUUUUGGUAUUUAAUUUUGUCAUCCUAUUGUUGGGCUUUUUGUAUAUAAUUUUGUCGUACUAUUUAAUUUUUGUUGACUUUUUGUUUAAAUUUAAUUUUGUAUUAAGUAUUUUAUUUUAAUUAAUUUAAUAUUUUGAGUAUUUUAUUUAAUUUUAAUUAA